rnacentral:lncRNA from 1 species
CUCAGGUCCUCGAAGAGUUCUAUGCACGAGCCCCAGCUUUCUCCGCCCUCGUCGUGCCUUCGAUCGCCGGUUACCUCGUCCAAGAGGCGCGGUUGUUGCGCUCCGAGGUACGGGCUUUUGGUUUCUUCGAUCGGUGGUUCCGGUAGUUCAUCUUUGGGGGAGAUUGGGAAAUUUUCGAUCUUGAUGUGCGUAUGGUUGAUGCUGACAUCAGAUUACCUGCUAUGAGUUCGAGCCGCUGUUUGGCGUCGAUGUUGCCUCUCCACGCUGCGGUUGCUUCGGCUCGACUGAAUUCGCUUCUCCCCUCGGAGCCCCAGAGCUGGGGAUGGGUUCCACAAGGUUAGUACUACACUCUUAACAGAUCCUGGGAGUUCAGUCUUUGGCAUCUAGUGAUUUCUAUUAAACCAUUGUG